AUUGAACGCUGGCGGCAGGCCUAAUACAUGCAAGUAGGACGCAGUUGCGAACGGGUGAGUAACGCGUAGGUAACUACCUAUUAGAGGGGGAUAACUAUUGGAAACGAUAGCUAAUACCGCAUACUAGUAGAUGGACCUGCUUUGUAUUAGCUAGUAGGUAGGGUAAUGGCCUACCUAGGAAACGAUACAUAGCAGACCUGGGAGGGUGAUUGGCCACCCCUGGACUUAGACCCGGCCCAGGCUCCUAAGGGAGGCAGCAGUAGGGAAUCUUCGGCAAUGGGGGGAACCCUGACCAGGCAACGCCGCGUGAGUUAAGAAGGGUUUCGGAUCGUAAAGCUCUGUUGUUAAGGAAGCGGUACUUAACCAGAAAGGGACGGCUAACUACGUGCCAGCAGCCGCGGUAAUAC
rnacentral:rRNA from 1 species